rnacentral:rRNA from 1 species
GAGACAGCAGCCGCCACGGGAACACGAAGGGGGCUAGCGUUGUUCGGAAUUACUGGGCGUAAAGCGCACGUAGGCGGAUAUUUAAGUCAGGGGUGAAAUCCCAGAGCUCAACUCUGGAACUGCCUUCGAUACUGGGUAUCUUGAGUAUGGAAGAGGUGAGUGGGAUUCCGAGUGUAGAGGUGAAAUUCGUAGAUAUUCGGAGGAACACCAGUGGCGAAGGCGGCUCACUGGUCCAUUACUGACGCUGAGGUGCGAAAGCGUGGGGAGCAAACAGGAUUAGAUACCCCUGUAGUCCCUGUCUCUUAUAC